rnacentral:lncRNA from 1 species
AUGGAAUUCAAUGAUCUGCCUCACAUUAUCUUUAUCACUCACGUGCUGUUUCCACUGAUGAUCUGUACAAAUGUAACAUCAUCAUAUCCAGUGCUGAGCACAGGCAACCAAGAACUGGAACUUCACACUCGCUGCAUUGCAUUAGAAAAUGGGUAUCUUCCUAUCUACAUGUGUAACUUGUUCAGUAGUUACAAGGGGAAACAAAUUUAUCCUCAGAAAUCUCAUAAUUUAGGAACAUGA